CGGAAUCAUACGACGGAUUAUAGGGCGUAAGCGCGCGCAGGUGGUUUCUUAAGUCUGAUGUGAAAGCCCACGGCUCAACCGUGGAGGGUCAUUGGAAACUGGGAGACUUGAGUGCAGAAGAGGAAAGUGGAAUUCCAUGUGUAGCGGUGAAAUGCGUAGAGAUAUGGAGGAACACCAGUGGCGAAGGCGACUUUCUGGUCUGUAACUGACACUGAGGCGCGAAAGCGUGGGGAGCAAACAGGAUUAGAUACCCUGGUAGUCCACGCCGUAAACGAUGAGUGCUAAGUGUUAGAGGGUUUCCGCCCUUUAGUGCUGAAGUUAACGCAUUAAGCACUCCGCCUGGGGAGUACGGCCGCAAGGCUGAAACUCAAAGGAAUUGACGGGGGCCCGCACAAGCGCGGUGGAGCAUGUGGUUUAAUUCGAAGCAACGCGAAGAACCUUACCAGGUCUUGACAUCCUCUGACAACCCUAGAGAUAGGGCUUCUCCUUCGGGAGCAGAGUGACAGGUGGUGCAUGGUUGUCGUCAGCUCGUGUCGUGAGAUGUUGGGUUAAGUCCCGCAACGAGCGCAACCCUUGAUCUUAGUUGCCAUCAUUUAGUUGGGCACUCUAAGGUGACUGCCGGUGACAAACCGGAGGAAGGUGGGGAUGACGUCAAAUCAUCAUGCCCCUUAUGACCUGGGCUACACACGUGCUACAAUGGACGGUACAAAGAGCUGCAAGACCGCGAGGUGGAGCUAAUCUCAUAAAACCGUUCUCAGUUCGGAUUGUAGGCUGCAACUCGCCUACAUGAAGCUGGAAUCGCUAGUAAUCGCGGAUCAG
rnacentral:rRNA from 1 species